rnacentral:rRNA from 1 species
AGAGUUUGAUCAUGGCUCAGAUUGAACGCUGGCGGCAUGGCUAAAACAUGCAAGUCGAACGCGAAAGCGGACUUCGGUCCGCGAGUAGAGUGGCGAAAGGGCGAGGAAUACAUUUCUAACGUACCCCGAGGUCAGGGAUAGCCCACCGAAAGGUGGAUUAAUACCUGAUGACCCCGCGAUUUCAUAUGAUUUUGCGGGCAAAGAUUUAUUGCCUUGGGAUCGGGGAAUGUGCUAUCAGGUUGUUGGUAAGGUAACGGCUUACCAAGCCUAAGACGGCUAGCGGGUGUGAGAGCAUGACCCGCCGCAUCGGGACUGAGACACUGCCCGGACUCCUACGGGAGGCUGCAGUAACGAAUAUUGGACAAUGCGCGAAAGCGUGAUCCAGCAAUGCCGCGUGGAGGAUGAAGCCCCUCGGGGUGUAAACUUCUGUCAGGGUUUAGAAACACAAUGAUCAAACCCAGAGGAAGAGCCGGCUAACUCUGUGCCAGCAGCCGCGGUAAUACAGAGGGCUCGAGCGUUAAUCGGAAUAACUGGGCUUAAAGCGUGCGCAGGCGGAUCUGCAAGCAUCAUGUGAAAUCCCACGGCUCAACCGUGGAACUGCAUGGUGAACUUCAGGUCUUGAGGUCGGUAGAGGUUGUCGGAACUCUAGGUGGAGCGGUGAAAUGCGUAGAUAUCUAGAGGAACGCCUAAGGUGAAGACAGGCAACUGGGCCGAUUCUGACGCUCAGGCACGAAAGCGUGGGUAGCGAACGGGAUUAGAUACCCCGGUAGUCCACGCCGUAAACGAUGUGUACUAGAUUGUGGAGGUUCUGACACCAUCACAGUCGAAGCGAAAGCACUAAGUACACCGCCUGGGGAGUACGGUCGCAAGAUUAAAACUCAAAGGAAUUGACGGGGGCUCACACAAGCGGUGGAGCAUGUGGCUUAAUUCGAAGCAACGCGAAGAACCUUAUCCUGGGUUUGACAUGUAUGGAUUAGCUACCUGAAAGGGUAGUGACGAGUUUACUUGGAACAUACACAGGUGCUGCAUGGCUGUCGUCAGCUCGUGCUGUGAAGUGUCGGGUUAAGUCCCUUAACGAGCGAAACCCCUGCCGCUAGUUGCCAGCGAGUAAUGUCGGGGACUCUAGCGGGACUGCCGGUGUCAAACCGGAGGAAGGUGGGGAUGACGUCAAGUCCUCAUGGCCUUUAUGCCCAGGGCUGCACACGUGCUACAAUGGCAAGUACAAAGCGACGCGAUACCGCAAGGUGGAGCAAAUCGCAAAAAGCUUGCCCCAGUUCGGAUUGUGGUCUGCAACUCGACCACAUGAAGGUGGAAUCGCUAGUAAUCGCGUAUCAGCUACGACGCGGUGAAUACGUUCCUGAGCCUUGUACACACCGCCCGUCAAGUCAUGGGAGCCGGUAGUACCCGAAGCCGCACCGAUUCAGGUGUGUCUACGGUAAGAUCGGUGACUGGGACUAAGUCGUAACAAGGUA